rnacentral:tRNA from 1 species
GCCAGUUUGGCUCAGUGGAUAGAGCGUCGGCUUGUGGACUCAAGGGUCCCAGGUUCGAUUCCUGUCAAAGGCA